rnacentral:rRNA from 1 species
AACGAACGCUGGCGGCAUGCCUAACACAUGCAAGUCGAACGAGACCUUCGGGUCUAGUGGCGCACGGGUGCGUAACGCGUGGGAACCUGCCCUUAGGUUCGGAAUAACUCCCCGAAAGGGGUGCUAAUACCGGAUAAUGUCUUCGGACCAAAGAUUUAUCGCCUUUGGAUGGGCCCGCGUUGGAUUAGCUAGUUGGUAGGGUAAAAGCCUACCAAGGCGACGAUCCAUAGCUGGUCUGAGAGGAUGAUCAGCCACACUGGGACUGAGACACGGCCCAGACUCCUACGGGAGGCAGCAGUGGGGAAUACUGGACACUGGGCGAAAGCCUGAUAAAGCAAUGCCGCGUGAGUGAUGAAGGCCUUAGGGUUGUAAAGCUCUUUUACACGGGAUGAUAAUGACAGUACCGGGAGAAUAAGCUCCGGCUAACUCCGUG